rnacentral:misc_RNA from 1 species
GAUGAAGAACGUAGCGAAAUGCGAUACUUGGUGUGAAUUGCAGAAUCCCGUGAACCAUCGAGUCUUUGAACGCAAGUUGCGCCCGAAGCCAUCAGGUUGAGGGCACGUCUGCCUGGGCGUCACAUAUCGUUGCCCAAUGCCUAUUGCAGUGCAAUAGGAAUUUCUAGGGCGAAUGAUGGCUUCCCGUGAGCGUUGUUGCCUCGCGGUUGGUUGAAAAUCGAGUCCUUGGUAGGGUGUGCCAUGGUAGAUGGUGGUCGAGUUAGAACGAUACCGAUCAUGUGCAUGCUCCCCAAAAUAUGGCCUCUAUGACCCACACGCGUCUUUUGACGCUCAUGACGAGACCUCAGGUCAGGCGAGGCUACCCGCUGAAUUUAAGCAUAUCAAUAAGCGGAGGA